rnacentral:rRNA from 1 species
CAGGCUGCAACUCGCCUGCAUGAAGUCGGAAUUGCUGUAAUCGCAGAUCAGCAUGCUGCGGUGAAUACGUUCCCGGGCCUUGUACACACCGCCCGUCACACCAUGGGAGUCGGUAACACCCGAAGUCGGUAGCCUAACCGUAAGGAGGGCGCCGCCAAAGGUGGGAUUGAUGACUGGGGUGAAGUCGUAACAAGGUACC